GCCAUCCUCUGACACCAUUAAGCUCUCAGCAGGUAGUAAGUCUGAAUUCUCUGCUGGUGUAAAUGAGCAGAGCUGCUUGAGCCCAUAGAUCUUUUCAAUGACUGGAUGGAACACAGAAGGAGAACCUUUGUCAAAGAUCAAUUAUUUCUUAAUCGUCUUUUCAAACGUAUCACAAGUUUACCUUAUCAAAGACACUAGGUGUGUAAUGGACCAAUCUAAAAAUGGACCAAGCUAAAAAUCACUGUUAAU
rnacentral:lncRNA from 1 species